UUUAUUAUUAGAUAAAUCUAUAUAAAUAGUGAGAGAGUUAGUGAUUAAAAUUAUAAAAUUAUAGUGUCUUAUAGGUAUGAGUAAUGUAAGUGAAGGAGUAGUGAGGGGAGAAUAAGAAGUUUUAGUUUAACGUUCCUUUUGUAUCAGGAUUCAUUAAAAUGAUUCUAAUAAUUUAGGGAUCUCGAAAUUAUAAGAGCUAGUUAGUUAUGAGAGUUAAUGUGGCAGAAUUAUUUUGAAUAGUUAGUUAGAUAAGAUAUUUUAGUCAAUUAUGGUGAUAUCUAGUUUUUAUAGAUAUAAAUUUAAUUUAGACAAAUUUUAUGGGUUGAGUUAAUUGAAGAAAUUUGAUCUAUGGAUUUGUUAAAUAUUUACGGGAUAAUCUGUAGAUAUUGUAAAAUUUUAGUUAGAUGAGGGUUAGAGUAGAGUAUAGGUGGCCGUAGGAUUUGGUUUCUUUAGAGAAAAUUUAAUAAUUUAUAUUUUUCUUUUUAUUGAUUUAAUAUUUAUAAUUUAUGGUUUAUAUGAAUAAUUGUUUGAAUUUUUUAGAGAGUGCAAUAAUGAUGGGAUUAGUAUAAUUAAUAUUUUAUUAAGUAAAAAUUAUUGGGUAUAUAUUUAAUAAGAACUAGGCAAAAUUAUAAGUCCAACUGUUUAAUAAAAACAUAGUUUUUUGAAUAUAAUAAAAGAUAGCUUCUGCUCAAUGAUUAGUUUUAAAUAGCCGCAGUAAAUUGACUGUGCAAAGGUAGCAUAAUCAUUUGUCUAUUAAAUGUAGACUGGAAUGAAUGAAUGUAUGAGAUUUAUACUUUUUUUUUCUAAAGUUGGAAAUUGAAUUUUAAGUAAUAAUGCUUAAGUUUUUUAUGGGACGAUAAGACCCUGUAGAAUUUUAUAUGGGCUUUGGUGGGAUUAUUUUAUGUAGUAGUAUAUUGAAGUUUAUAUUUUGUUGGGAGGAUAGUUAAGUUAUAUAAACCUUAAUUUGUAGAGUAUACUUAUUAGUAGUAGUUUGUGAUUAAUUGUAAGUUGAGUAAGAAUUAAUUACCUCAGGGAUAACAGCGUAAUAUUUUUGGUGAGAUCAUAUUUAUAAAAGUGUUUGCGACCUCGAUGUUGAAUUAAAAUAAAAUUUAGAUGCAGGAGUCUAGAGAUUUAGUCUGUUCGACUAGUAGUAUUUUACAUGAUUUGAGUUUAGACCGACGUAAGUCAGGUCAGUUUCUAUCUAUAAAUAUUGUGGGCUAUAAUUGUACGAAAGGACUUUAUAGCCGAAAUAUUUUUAUAAGAGUUGUAAUAAU
rnacentral:rRNA from 1 species